rnacentral:rRNA from 1 species
AUGCCAAGUCGCCUCCUCCCGAUCCGCGCCCCCUCCCUCGCCAAGCCCACAGCUCUCAGAUUUGCUAAACAUAUGGCUUCAAAUACUGGCAAGAAGCUCAUUCAGAUCGACGUGAGCUCGGAUACAGUGUGCCCUUGGUGCUUUGUUGGGAAAAAGAAUCUUGAGAAAGCUAUGGAGCAAACCAUGGACAAGUUUGAUUUUGAGGUUCGUUGGCAUCCAUUUUUUCUGAACCCUGAUGCACCUAAGGAAGGUGUCAAGAAAUCUGAUUUCUACAAGACCAAGUUUGGCCCUGUGCAGUUUGAGCGUGCAACUGCUCGCAUGAGAGAGAUGUUCCGAGGACUUGGCUUUGAAUAUGACAUGUCAGGACUCACCGGGAAUACAAUGGACAGCCAUAGGCUCAUAACACUUGCCGGACACCAAGGCUAUGAUAAACAAAAUGCUCUUCUAGACGAACUAUUCGUCAGUUAUUUUUGCCAAGGAAAAUAUAUUGGUGAUAGGCAAGUUCUUAUGGAUGCUGCAAGAAAGGUGGGCAUAGAAGGAGCAGAAGAACUUCUGCUGGACCCUAGCAAAGGAGUCGAUGAGGUUAAGGAAGAACUCAACAAAUACUCUUCUGGCAUUUCUGGAGUCCCUCACUUUGUGAUCAAUGGAAAAUAUCAACUCAGUGGUGGUCAGCCUCCAAACAUAUUCAUGAGGGCGUUCGAGACUGCUGCGAAAGAUGCAGCUGAAUGA